rnacentral:rRNA from 1 species
UAGGGAAUCUUCCGCAAUGGACGCAAGUCUGACGGAGCAACGCCGCGUGAGUGAAGAAGGUUCUCGGAUCGUAAAACUCUGUUGUUAGAGAAGAACAAGUGCUAGAGUAACUGUUAGCGCCUUGACGGUAUCUAACCAGAAAGCCACGGCUAACUACGUGCCAGCAGCCGCGGUAAUACGUAGGUCCCGAGCGUUGUCCGGAUUUAUUGGGCGUAAAGCGAGCGCAGGCGGUUAGAAAAGUCUGAAGUGAAAGGCAGUGGCUCAACCAUUGUAGGCUUUGGAAACUGUUUAACUUGAGUGCAGAAGGGGAGAGUGGAAUUCCAUGUGUAGCGGUGAAAUGCGUAGAUAUAUGGAGGAACACCGGUGGCGAAAGCGGCUCUCUGGUCUGUAACUGACGCUGAGGCUCGAAAGCGUGGGGAGCGAACAGGAUUAGAUACCCUGGUAGUCCACGCCGUAAACGAUGAGUGCUAGGUGUUGGGUCCUUUCCGGGGCUCAGUGCCGCAGCUAACGCAUUAAGCACUCCGCCUGGGGAGUACGACCGCAAGGUUG